rnacentral:rRNA from 1 species
UUUUACGGAGAGUUUGAUCCUGGCUCAGGAUGAACGCUGGCGGCGUGCUUAACACAUGCAAGUCGAACGAUGAAGCCCAGCUUGCUGGGUGGAUUAGUGGCGAACGG